AUUGAACGCUGGCGGCAGGCCUAACACAUGCAAGUCGAGCGGAUGAAGAGAGCUUGCUCUCUGAUUCAGCGGCGGACGGGUGAGUAAUGCCUAGGAAUCUGCCUGGUAGUGGGGGACAACGUUUCGAAAGGAACGCUAAUACCGCAUACGUCCUAUGGGAGAAAGCAGGGGACCUUCGGGCCUUGCGCUAUCAGCUGAGCCUGGGUCGGAUUAGCUAGUAGGUGAGGUAAUGGCUCACCUAGGCGACGAUCCGUAACUGGUCUGAGAGGAUGAUCAGUCACACUGGAACUGAGACACGGUCCAGACUCCUACGGGAGGCAGCAGUGGGGAAUAUUGGACAAUGGGCGAAAGCCUGAUCCAGCCAUGCCGCGUGUGUGAAGAAGGUCUUCGGAUUGUAGAGCACUUUAAGUUGGGAGGAAGGGCAGUAAGUUAAUACCUUGCUGUUUUGACGUUACCAACAGAAUAAGCACCGGCUAACUUCGUGCCAGCCGCCGCAGUAACAC
rnacentral:rRNA from 1 species